AUUGCCCUAGUAACGGCGAGUGAAGCGGCAACAGCUCAAAUUUGAAAUCUGGCCCUCGGGUCCGAGUUGUAAUUUGUAGAGGAUGCUUUUGGUGAGGUGCCUUCCGAGUUCCCUGGAACGGGACGCCAUAGAGGGUGAGAGCCCCGUCUGGUUGGACACCAAACCUCUGUAAAGCUCCUUCGACGAGUCGAGUAGUUUGGGAAUGCUGCUCUAAAUGGGAGGUAUAUGUCUUCUAAAGCUAAAUACCGGCCAGAGACCGAUAGCGCACAAGUAGAGUGAUCGAAAGAUGAAAAGCACUUUGAAAAGAGAGUUAAAAAGUACGUGAAAUUGUUGAAAGGGAAGCGCUUAUGACCAGACUUGGGCUUGGUUGAUCAUCCUGGGUUCUCCCUGGUGCACUCUUCCAGUUCAGGCCAGCAUCAGUUCGCUGCGGGGGAUAAAAGUUUUGGGAAUGUGGCUCCCUCGGGAGUGUUAUAGCCCAUUGCAUAAUACCCUGCUCCGGACUGAGGUUCGCGCAUCUGCAAGGAUGCUGGCGUAAUGGUCAUCAGCGACCCGUCUUGAAACACGGACCAAGGAGUCGUCUUCGUAUGCGAGUGUUCGGGUGUUAAACCCCUACGCGUAAUGAAAGUGAACGCAGGUGAGAGCUUCGGCGCAUCAUCGACCGAUCCUGAUGUUCUCGGAUGGAUUUGAGUAAGAGCAUACGGGGCCGGACCCGAAAGAAGGUGAACUAUGCCUGUAUAGGGUGAAGCCAGAGGAAACUCUGGUGGAGGCUCGCAGCGGUUCUGACGUGCAAAUCGAUCGUCAAAUAUGGGCAUGGGGGCGAAAGACUAAUCGAACCUUCUAGUAGCUGGUUUCCGCCGAAGUUUCCCUCAGGA
rnacentral:rRNA from 4 species